ensembl:misc_RNA Metazoa_SRP Metazoan signal recognition particle RNA
GCCAGGUGUGGUGGUGGACACCUGUAGUUCUAGGUACUUGGGAGGCUGAGACAGGAGGAUUGCUUGAGCCCAGAAGUUUGAGGAUACAGUGAGCUAUGAUGACACCACUGCACUUCAGCCUGGGCAAAAAAGUGAGACCUUGUCUCUU